AACAACAAAUUUAUGUGAAAACAUUAUGUUGAGAGAAGAAUAAUGGAAUUAGUCUAGUUCUCAUGAAAUAUCAAGCAGUCUAAAGGUGGAUGAUGACAAUCUUGAGAAAGAAAAAUCCAAAGGAAUGAUAACUCCAUGAUCUUGCUAACAGAACUUCCUACAUAAUAUUUAUUUACACAAAGGCAAUUAAACAGCAAAAAACAUAUGGAUUGUGCCACAAGAGACUGUAAGAAUCAAUUCCAAAGUCCAUCAAACACAUUCCAAACAUAUGCAAUUCUCAUCCAACCUUUGUUUCUUUCCUCUAUACUGAUGAUUUCCUCUGCGAAACUUCUUACUUUCUGAUAAACAAAGACCCUCUCAAAUUGAUUUCAGACUAAAAAGGAAAACCUUUGAUAUCUCUGAAUCAUAAGAUUGAAAUAAGGACUCAUUUGCAUCCCCUUGAUUCUCAAACUCACACUAAUGACAUUAAUAGCACAAGAUCGAUCACUAGCGGUCAGUUCGCUACCUCCAAGGAAAGAUAAAGAUGAUGCUCCUAUUAUUCUCGCUAUCGUGAUAUCUGAAACCCCUUUAGCUUUGAGCCGUAGACUGGAUUGUAGUACUUUAUAGGAGAAGCAUCCAUGUACAAAGAAUUGGGUUCUUUUACCACCAAUAGACUCUUUUAGCUUUUGUUCCUUGCUAGAAUUGUGACCUGAACUCAUCCAACAUUUGUAUCAGUUAUCAAGUGGCACACAAGUUAUAACAUUUACUGAUGUUCCGUGGAACAACUCUCUUGUCAGGAACAUGGAGUUUGGAUCAUCUAUAUAUACUUGAGAUGGGUGGAGAUAGCAGUUUCAGCUGAACUUGGAAGCACCUUCAUGUCCACCAUGCGAAGGCCGAUGAUUGCAAAAUCGACUAGACUAAUUCGGGAGGUAAAGAAUGGGCAAGCAAGACUGGGGAAGCAACAGCAUGGAGCAGUAAAUGAUGCAUCAUGGUGGAUUCCUCAUCCAAGGACAGGGAUAUACUACCCCAAGGGGCAUGAAUGGGUGAUGGAAGAUGUGCCUGAGGGUGCUUCCUCCUUCCCAAGAACCUACUGGCUUAGGAGCUCUGAAGGGGUGGAGAAAGACUCUGAUCUCUCCACCUGCCCCGACUACAAUCACCCAUUCCUUGACGUAUGAGGAGCUUAGUAUCAUAGAACUAGCAGCAGUAACAACAGCAACAGUGUUCUACUUGCGGAGAAAUAAAGACUUCAAUAGCGUGUUGUCUCACAAUUGCUAUCGAGGAAUGAAUUUAUCUACUGAA